GAAAUAAGUAAAUCAGAGAUAAGCUUCUAACUUCUUCUCUUAGCAGUGUAAUUCUGUUAGUAUUUCU
rnacentral:tRNA from 1 species